ensembl:snRNA U4 U4 spliceosomal RNA
AGCUUUGUGCAGUGGCAGUAUCGUAGCCAAGGAGGUAUAUCUGAGGCGAGAUCAUUGCUAAUUUAAAACUUUUUUCCAGGGUUUCAGCUCAUGAUCAUUGGCUCCACGCUUUUGUG